UACGUAGGGUGCAAGCGUUGUCCGGAAUUAUUGGGCGUAAAGAGCUCGUAGGCGGUUCGUCGCGUCGGCUGUGAAAUCCCGGAGCUCAACUCCGGGUCUGCAGUCGAUACGGGCGGACUCGAGUUCGGCAGGGGAGACUGGAAUUCCUGGUGUAGCGGUGAAAUGCGCAGAUAUCAGGAGGAACACCGGUGGCGAAGGCAGGUCUCUGGGCAUUAACUGACGCUGAGGAGCGAAAGCAUGGGGAGCGAACAGG
rnacentral:rRNA from 1 species